GACGAACGCUGGCGGCGUGCUUAACACAUGCAAGUCGAGCGGCAGCAGGCCCCGCAAGGGGUGCUGGCGAGCGGCGAAAGGGAUAGUAAUACGUGGAUAACCUGCCCCUGGGACGGGGAUAGCUGCUGGAAACGGCAAUUAAUACCCGAUGACGUCUCCGGACCAAAGGUGUAAUUCCGCCCGGGGAGGGGUCCGCGUCCUAUUAGCUAGUUGGUGAGGUAACGGCUCACCAAGGCCACGAUGGGUAGCGGGUGUGAGAGCACGACCCGCAUCACUGGGACUGAGACACUGCCCAGACACCUACGGGUGGCUGCAGUCGGGGAUCUUCGGCAAUGGGCGAAAGCCUGACCGAGCGACGCCGCGUGCGGGAUGAAGGGCUUCGGGUUGUAAACCGCUUUCGUAGGGGAGGAAAUUCCGGUGGGAUCACUCAUCGGUUUGACCUAGCCUAGGAAGAAGGACGGGCUAAGUUCGUGCCAGCAGCCGCCGUAA
rnacentral:rRNA from 1 species